ensembl:lncRNA
CCGGUGUUAGGUCAGUCUGAUGUUUGACCGGUGUUAGUUCAGUCUGAUGUUUGACCGGUGUUAGUUCAGUCUGAUGCUGGUUGUACAGUCUGAUGGAGGUUGUGUGUUGCUGGUUGUACAGUCUGAUGGAGGUUGUGUGUUGCUGGUUGUACAGUCUGAUGGAGGUUGUGUGUUGCUGGUUGUACAGUCUGAUGGAGGUUGUGUGUUGCUGGUUGUACAGUCUGAUGGAGGUUGUGUGUUGCUGGUUGUGCAGUGUGAUGGAGGUUGUGUGUUGCUGGUUGUGCAGUGUGAUGGAGGUUGUGUGUUGCUGGUUGUACAGUCUGAUGGAGGUUGUGUUGCUGGUUGUACAGUCUGAUGGAGGUUGUGUUGCUGGUUGUACAGUCUGAUGGAGGUUGUGUUGCUGGUUGUACAGUCUGAUGGUGGUUGUGUUGCUGGUUGUACAGUGUGAUACAGGUUGUGUUGCUGGUUGUACAGUCUGAUGGAGGUUGCGUUGCUGGUUGCAGUGGUGUAAAGUACUUCAGUAGUUUUGGAUGUAUCUGUACUUGACUAUUUAUAUUUUUGGCAACUUUUAUUUCGCUGUAUUCCUAAAUAAAAUAAUGUACUUCUUUACUCCAAACAUUUUCCGUGACACCCAAAAAGUAGUCGUUACAUUUGGACAGGAAAAUGGUCC